UACGGGGGGGGCAAGCGUUGUUCGGAAUUACUGGGCGUAAAGGGCUCGUAGGUGGCCAACUAAGUCGGACGUGAAAUCCCUCGGCUUAACCGGGGAACUGCGUCUGAUACUGGAUGGCUUGAGUCCGGUAGGGGAGUGUGGAAUUCCCGGUGUAGCGGUGAAAUGCGCAGAUAAUCGGGAGGAACACCAGUAGCGAAGGCGACACUCUGGGCCGGUAC
rnacentral:rRNA from 1 species